rnacentral:rRNA from 1 species
UACGAAGGGGGCUAGCGUUGCUCGGAAUCACUGGGCGUAAAGGGUGCGUGGGCGGGUCUUUAAGUCAGGGGUGAAAUCCUGGAGCUCAACUCCAGAACUGCCUUUGAUACUGAGGAUCUUGAGUUCGGGAGAGGUGAGUGGAACUGCGAGUGUAGAGGUGAAAUUCGUAGAUAUUCGCAAGAACACCAGUGGCGAAGGCGGCUCACUGGCCCGGUACUGACGCUGAGGUGCGAAAGCGUGGGGAGCAAACAGG